UUAGUCUCCAAAAGAAGCUCUUAGGAAGAAACCUAUUAAAUACACUUUGAUUUGAAGUUAAAAGUACCCUUUUCUGAACCCAAGAGUAAGACUUAGACUUCUACAACAUAUAGAUCUUGUGACAGUAAAUAGAACAUCUGAAUAUUAAAUAUAGUCUAGUAAAUCACCCUGAAUUCUGUCAAGGUUUGAGUUUUUCACAUAAAAGAAUCUACAGCCAUAGAAAAAUCACUCUCUCUUCUGGUCUUUAAUUAUGAGCAAUGAGUCUUCAAGAGAGUACUUUCUUGCUGAAAGGAUUACCUUUCCGAUUAAAAAUGAAAAAUUACUUCAUUUUUUAGAUCCUUCCUAUUUCCAACUAUCUAGCCUAAGCAAAUCCAGCUGGAAUAUAAGAGGAUUUAUGAAGAGAAUUUUUGCAGCUCUUUAAGAGUCCCGUCCUAGAAUAUAGAUUAGGAAUGGAUUAUUUAGUAUAUUACCUUUGGAGAACAGAACUUUGUAUCUUUGGAAUAUGGCCAGCCCUGUAAAAUAGAAAUGGCAGUUGUUUCUUAUUGCUGAACAGCAUUCCAUAAAAUACUGUAGUUUGAAAAUACAGACAUGCAUAAAAAUUACACUGAAAAUUUUUGUACACAAGGGCACUCCCUCAUGGAAAUGGUUGCUAGAGACAGAAGAAAUGAAACAGCAUAUUGCAAGAACAUUGUCCUCUUUCUUCAAGCUCAUGAAAUACAUGCACUUACCUGGAAGCCUUCUGCGGAGACAGGCUAGACUUGUCUCUGGCAGAUUUUAUAGUGUCUCGUCUGCAGAUGCUGCAGAUGGUCCCCCUUUCUUCGGUCAAAACAUUUCUGGCAAACCUUUUUUGGCCAAGCAUUGUCUGUCAAACUAAGGGCAUAAUUGUCACUUGAUUUGAAUGAUAUAAUUAGAACAUUUUUAUAUGUUACUGACUACGUGAAUACAUCUAUAAAUAAUUUAACACUCAAGAGUGUUAAGGAGAGAAUCUAGACUACUCAAGGCACUUAGAGAACUUGCAUGGUUCUAUUGCUGCCUUUCUCAGUGAUUUGCUCCUUGACCCAUGGUAGUUUCCUUGGUAUGUUUAUGCCACAACUUUUCAGUCAUGUAAUGGUGAUGACAACGCCUAUGAUGCUUUAGGAACAUAUGCAUUGGAAGGAACAGGGAAAAUAUGUCAAAAACUAGAAGACAGUGUUGGGAGCAACUUUUCAGUGGUAUUCUCUAAAAAGCAGGAAGUAAAAAUCUAUUACAGCUGAGUUUUCUGUAUAGGACACUCUCAGUAGCUGAAACUAUUUGAAAUACAGUGAGUUGGGAGCCUGAUCCCAAGUAAUGGGAGACUCUACUUUGAUAUGUAGCUCUUGAAUAGAUUCCUGAGCUGACUGUUGAGGAAUCAGAUGUUGCGAAUGAGUUAAGGUUGCUUAAAGUAUCACCAUCAAAGGCAUUUGUGAAAUAGAGUUCAAUAUGAAUUUGCCAAAGCACAACAAAAUUUGAUGUCAAAGUUUGCUCUGUUACUUGCUACAAAGAUCAAUAAAAAAUGACUAAGAAUUACCUUAGAAUGACUUGCACAACAACUGGGGAUGCAAAGGAUAAGGGUAAAAAGCAUGAGAAAAAUCCUUGUUUUCACAGAGGGCCCCUUGGUUUCUAAACUCCUGGCAGAGUCUAGGUGCAGUUGGAUCUAAUCAAAAUACCAGACCUGGUCAACAGUUUGUGUCUAAAGGGUUUUAGCAGGACCUAAUCAUUGACUAAUUUGGCAUUUAUAAAGUGAUUUAAAAGGAUUUACUAUAAUUGCAACAGGGAUUUAGUUAUAGAUUCCAGACAGCAACAUUAAAACUAGCUGUAGAAUGCUUAAAUGAACUCACACAUGCAUGCACACAGACACAAAGGUGUCUAUAUAAAUGUUCAAGGAUUACACCUAUUAAAAGUUCCCUCUGAGUUCAGUGAAAUAUUCGCUUCAAAUGUCUUGGAAUUUCUCAGUGGGCAAGAGCUGAGCCUCAGGGAGUGGAGGAUAUUGCUCUAGUGAAUUAGCUUUUGGUGAAUUUUUUGAAAAUCAGUCCUCCAUUUUUCACCAACUUGAGAGCUCAUGAGUUUUGAGAGGCACCCCAGUCUGAGGGAGAUGCUGGUUGCAGCCUGCUGCAGUCCGGGAGAGCUCAAAGUGCCUCACUAAGGCCUGCUAUUUAUAGGGUUGCAAGAUGUUUAGUUUUAGUCAUCCAUACAUUUCCAUCCUGGACACAAUCCAGGUCAGUAAUUACUGGUGCUUCCAGAAUUCCAGUAGCAAUGGUACUGGAGUUACCAAAACUCCAGCAACAAUGGUACCAUUCUGCUUGGGUGCGAUUUAGGUAGGGAAAGUUCCAAGGCUUUCAACAAGUGACUGAUUAUUCCUCCUCUCAAUCACAUCACACUCACAGCACAGAAGUCCUGUGUUAAAAUUUCUCCAUGCUCAGGCUGUUCAGGGAAUUCAGGUUCCUCAAGUUUCCUGCUUCAGGCUCUUCACCAAGUAUCUCCUCAUUUCUCAGCAGCUGUCCUUUCAGGACAGAAAUACCAACUGCAAAUAAGAGGGGGCUACCACACUGCUCAAGCAACUCGUUUAACACCCAUAGGAUGUUGCUAAAGCACCUCAUGUAACACUACAACUGCUCCAUACAGUAUGGGCAGAUAUUAUUUUGGGUUCUGUUACUCAUUGCCAGUGAGUGCUUGUAGAAAUCACUAGUUAGAGCAUGAAAGAAAAGCAGUAUUGACUUACCUGGUUCUAAUACAGCUCUGGACACAGCUGAAAAUAAAGCUGUUUGAGAAUUGAUCUAUGACAAUACAUGUAAUGUAGCAUCCUUUGAAGGGUUAAAAUAGCCCCCAAGAUUCAAUAUGGUUGUGCUUAUAAAGCACAUCUCUCCUGAGUAGUCUGUUCUCUUCCACAGCUGCUGCAAAGUGUGUGCUUACUAGCAGUUCCUUAAAUGCAAUGAAUUCCAAUCUUACAAAGUCUAGAGUGCUAUUCUGCUGGUUAUCUCUGGCUUUCCACUGAAUCCUUCAUCCAGUCAUCGUAUGUUUGCUGCAGCCUGAGGUCUGGGAUCAUAUUUAUCAAUCUCAUCCCUGCUUCCAAUACUCAGUGUUGCCUGUCCAGUAUUUGGGAUAUUGACAUCAGCACUGCCUAAUAAUUUCUGGCAGAGCUUGCCUGGUGCUGCUGCCCUCACAGCAGAUUUCCACAUGGCUGAAAACCUCCUUAAGGCAGAGGAGACUUGAGUUUCUACUAGCUGUAGAAAUCCCUUCACUACUUUGUCUUGUUCAGGUGGUCCAUUGCAGACCCUAUCACAGCAUCCCUCAUUUUCCUCCUGUCUCUGACAGGAUGUCUGCAGCCCCACAGUCGAGCAUUACACAAGCAAGAAGCAUUUUGACACAAAGCAUAAACCCUUCUCAUUUCCCCUGUGUAUUCUUCCUACACAGUCCAUACUCUCCCAUGACUAUGCUCCUGUGAUGCACACUGUCCUUCCUACAUUACCUCCAUAAUUCUGAUCACGUUCCCCUUCUUCCUUGUAAAAUUCCUACAUUUGCAGCUAUUCCUCUGUUAUUUCUCAGCUUAAGUGGUCUUCCCAUACUGGAGCUGAUUUCAGACCCUUAUCAUCAGGUUAGUAGUCUCAUGGCAGAUUGUUUUGCUUCUCAAUCCUCAAAUAUAGAUGUCUGAAAAUCAUGGGGAACUCAUAGAUGGACUUGUGAAGCUUCCAAACACAGUGAAAGCUCCUACUUAAGAAUCCAUUGGUAUAUCACAGGACUGCCAGGUGACUAAUAUAAUCCCAUGGCAUUAAGAGGGAUUAUGGGGAAACCAGGAGAACUACAGUGCAGCAAGACUGAUGGUUUUACUGGAUAAAUGAGUUCAGUGCCCCUCCCUCAACUCACUUUUUGAGGAUCUCAAUCCUUAAAUUUUACAGUAAGUAAUAAUAACACAGGAGAAACCCAACAGGGCACCAGCUGUUUCUCAUGCAUUGGUUGGAAGCCCACUGCAUCCCACAAUUCCUGGAAAUUUUAGCAUAUUUUGGAAGGGGGAUAGAGAUGCAUUCUCCCCCUCCAAUGACUCCAAAUUUCUCACACAACAAGCUGCUCUGUGGGUAAGACACCAGGGCUCUUCACCAUGUGCUUCCUCCUUGGGAAACUUUAUUUCAUUCCUCUGCAUUAGCAAAAUUAUUAAAACAAUCUCCAUUUCAUUUUCUUUGGGAUGACUGCUAAUUUUCUCUUUGUAACUUAACCAAUUGUGUUGCAGAGUGAAAUAUAUUUACUGUGGUCUCCUUCCUGAAAAAAGAAUUACCUUGAAAAUAGAUCCUAUCCCACUUUCUGUAAGUCCCUACAAUGUGAUUUCCCUCCCCUUGUAUUCAGUGAGUCUGACCUGGGGAGCUCUGAGGAAAAGGGGGGAACUCGCAAACACAAGUGAAAUGUGAAUGUUGAGCCCUAUCAAAAUUCUUGAGUCUGUGGCCCCAUGGAAACCUCACUCUCUAUUCUGCUUCUUGGAGCAGCCUUGUAACCUGUCUAGUUAGAAAGCAAGUCCAGGACCAGUAUCUUCAUGACCUUGUCACAGAACCAACCACCUUCAGGCCUUCUGCUUAGGUCCUGCACUCCUUCCUCCCUGGACCACGCUGACCUUCUGUCCAGUUGCAAUAACAGAAAAUGAAACAUAGAUGUAAGUUGCUGACCUCCACUUCAAUGGGAGUCUCAAGACCUCCCAUUGAUGUUCUUUUCUGCCCAAAGAGAAACAAGUAAUGUAAACCCAGUUAGAACAUGUGGGAACCAACAAGAAAAGUUCAAGAUGUCAUAUUUAUCUUCACAGGCAAACUCGCUUGAAAAAUUUCCUUCCAUAGAUUUAAAACUCCUGUUCAUAUGGACACUCAGACAGGUAUCUUGCAAAAAUCUCUGAGCUGUCAGCUCCUGUCCUGGGGUCAGUUUUGGACCCCUCAUGACAUAAAGGACAUUGAGGGGCUGGAACAUGCCCAGGGAAGGGAAUGGAGCUGGGGAAGGAUCUGGAGCACCAGGAGGGGCUGAAGGAGCUGGGAAAGGGGCUCAGCCUGGAGAAAAGGAGCUCAGGGGGCCCUUCUGGCUCUGCACAAGUCCCUGCCAGGAGGGGACAGCCGGGGGGGUCGGGCUCUGCUCCCAGGGAACAGGGACAGUAGGAGAGGGAACGGCCUCAGGCUGGGCCAGGGGAGGUUUAGAUUGGAUAUUGGGAAAAUUUCUUCUCUGAAAGGUUUGUCAAGUGCUGGAACAGGCUGCUCAGGGCAAUGGUGGGCUCCCCAGCUCCAGAGAGAUUUAAAAAAUAUGUGGGGACAUGGUUUAGUGGUAGACUUGGCAGUGCUGGGGUAAUGGUUAAACAUAUUGAUUUUAGAUGUCUUUUCCAACCCAAAUGGAGACCUCAUGACACCAUCACAUUUUGGAGAGUACAGGCAGCAGGAGGAGCAAUUGGAGGAGCAAUUGUUCUGAUUUCUUUUCCUGAUUUUAUUUCUGCAGCCUCUUUAGGAUAUCGAGACACCACCUUCAUCUCUUUUUUUUCCCUGUGUCUGCUAAACUGUUUGGCAUUUUGUCGACUACUGAAUGGCAGUCAUUGCCAAGUCCUGCCCUAAGUUAUUGGCUAGGAUUUGCAGGAAUCUUUCAAAAAAGGAUAUGAUUUCAGUAUAGAUUGCUUAAACAAACUUGUAUUGGGAUAUGAGUAUUUAGUAACAGUGUCCUUAUAAUCUAGGAAAAGUAAAAAAAUAGUAUUUUGUUCAGUGCCUUGAUUCUGCCUUAAAAACAUUUAUGACACUGUGAGACCUAGCUGCUAGGAUAUCACUUUCUGAUCUAAUGUUUUUUCUUGACAGACUCUGUAAUUCAUACAUAGUAGAAUACUAUCCCUCCAAAAUAAAUGGCAACAUUUGAAUUCUAGAACCAGGGCAUUAACGUAUAGCACUUUGAGGUAACAAACACAUCACCAUCACCUCAAAAGAGUGGAAACUGAAAUAGUGACAGUGGCAGAUACAAAAAUCAUAUAGAUAAGUGUCACUGUUGGACACAAAAUGAGUCACACAGAUGCAGUUUGAGGUGUGGUGAAAGAAAGGUAACUUUAUUUUUUCUUUCAGUAUUUAUAGGUUUCUGACCAUGAAUAGUGGAUAGUCAGGUUAACACCUUCUCAACUGCACUGGCUGUGAGAGAUGUCCAUCAGAAGGCAUAUCUUUAAUGGAAUGUAUAAACAUCUAUGUUUAUAGUUGCUUUCCUUGGAAAGUGGCUAGAACUUUUAGAAAAACAAUAUCGAGGGCCUGAUUCUCAGGGUGACAGAUUAGAACUAUACUUACAACUCUUCUAGAAGGAGAAAUGGUGUAGGAAGGAGUCUGAAUGACUUGCUCAUUAUUUCCCCACACUGCCAAAAAAAGGGAUCUUAAACCCUUGCAGCAUUUUCACCUUGCAAGUGCUGCUGAUAGCCCUACUGUUGUUAAGGCAGGGCCUGCCUAGACAGGUGAGUUUUCUCUGCAGCCUGUCAUGGACAGUCUAACAGGGAAUGCUCAGCCCCUGUUGCAGCAGGUUUUCUGCUGCCCUCUGUGUAAAAUGAGAGCUUCCAGGAAUGUUAGUAUAGGGCAAGCAGAAAUGUCAGAGCACUGCUCUGUAGCAGCACUGCUCAUCUCCGUACUUCUGACUGGACACUGAGCCCUGGAGAGGGUUCCCACAGAGUGGUAUUCUUGGAAGUCUUGGAGUGAGUUUAAGCUGAACAUGAGAGGCAAAUAAACUGAACAACUGAACACAAGAGGCAAAUAAAUCCCAUAAUCUGGGAUUAGAGGAUGGGCAGUUUCAAGUGCAUGCCUCUCAUGCACCACAAUUCAUGCUCCUCCUGUCUCCAAAAACGCCUCAGCGGAAGAGGUCUGGGCAGGAGAUCCCAUCCAAGGAGGUGAUGCUCGGGAUGCCCUUUCUAUCCCCUGCCAAAGCAGCUCUUAUUACAGACCAGACAACACCAACAGGUUCUGCUCAUCAGUGCUUGUUAGUGACACUGGAAUCAGGCUGGACUCAACAGGAAGAGCUGGUGUGCUGUUGCGACUGCACUUGGGAGCCAGAUAAGGACUCUGUUGGGAAAUCCUUUCCUGCAAAUCCUGAUCCCUUCCAGCACGCCGUUACAGCGCAGCUGGUGCAGCACCAGCUCGUGCUCCAUGGCACCUGGCAAUGCAGAGCACAAACACAUGCCAUGUUCUGUAAUACACUGGGGAAGAGCUGCACCACGCUGAAAACCUUCAAUAUGUGUUCUUGACAGUGACUUUUCCUGAUUCCCUACUAGUGACUGUCCCUUUCACAAAGGAUUCCUUUGGAUGUACCACGAAGACAGAUGACUUGGCAUCAAAAGGUAAUAAAUAUAUUUUUUUGUCUGGAGUAAGAAAGCUGACAAUUCUGAAACUCUGCAAAGGUGGUUAGAAGGGUGAACUUCACUGGGGCCAGAAGCAAAUCAAAGCAGAAAUAAGCGGGAUGAGGCAGGCUGGAAGCCAUCUCUGGAUACAGACUGUGCUGCACAGCAAUGUGGUGUCGUCAAGGUGCACAUUCCCCAUGGAGGAGAAAGGAUUCAGUCGUGCUGAAAAUAGAUCCUUCUUGAGACAGUGACCAGACAGCUGCUCCCUUUCUGCCAGGGCCUAAGAUUUGUAUUUUAUUCUUCCCAUCCCAGUAGUUAACUGAGAGAUAAGGAGUGAGAAGGCACUUUUUGGUCAGGCUGGGGAGGGCAGGGGGAAGUUCCUGCAGGUGCUGUGUGUUGGCCACUGGGAACCUCUCCCUCCUGCCUGUUAAGACUCAUCAAACUCAUGAACUUGAAAUACAAGAAUGCCCUUUAUGGGCAGUGGUUUUGCAGUAGGAAAAGGAAUGUUUCUUUGUAGUCUUUACCCUUGGGAGCUACUCUCAGGCUCUGUGAUUCUCCUGAGACAGACGGCUCCAAGGCUGGGGACAUGUCAUGUGUCCCUUCUGGAUGGGGACAUGUCCAUGUGUCCUCUCUGGCUGGGGAUGUUUCCAGGUGUCCUCUCUGGCUGGGGAUGUCUCCAGGUGUCCCCUCUGGCUGUGGACAUGUCCAGGUGGCCACUCCCAUGCAGCUGAAGCCAUGGCCAUCAGUGAAAUGUUUGAUUUCACUUCAUUCAAUUUAAUUCCAUGCCAUUUGCCAAAGCAUUUCCUUCCAGAACACCAAAUCCAUAAUACUGCUGAAUAAUACUGAAAUGUUCUUAGCAGCAGCAGCAGGCUUUGGUUGCUUUCAGUCCUUGAAGAGCACUGUGACCUGCAGGCAGAGUCAGAGAUCUGUAGAGCUCAUUGGGUCAGCAAAAUGCAUCACAUCACAUCAGGAAGAAGCUCUCCAGGUGAGGAGCAGCAGGUCAGGCAGAGUACAGGAGAUUCUUCUCAUUACCACAGGCUGGACAUAUUCUCAGUGGUAACUAUGCUGGUAAGCAUUUCUCCAGGUCCAUCACAGGAAUUUAGGGGUGUGGUUCAAACACUUUUUUUCAUUCUGAGUUGCCAGGUAUGAUUUUUUAGAAAUAUGCAUUUGAUACAGCAUUAACAUCACCUCUGUGGGUUAUUUCUGACAAUAACAUAACAUUGAAGGAAAUCAGACUGCAUGAUGCCCCUGCCCAUGUCAGAAACAAGAUUGGAUUAGGUGAGAUUUAAAGGUCUCUUCAACUCAAACCCUUCUGUGAUCUGUGUGACUGAAUGGCUGUGCUGGGUCAGUCCAAUGGAACAGGCAGACUCUCACACCCAAAACAUUUGUCAUCAUCCCACUCUCCCCAGACACCCAGCCUCUGCAUGACAUUCCACCCAGGUAGUGAAGCCUUCUAGAGAAAAAAAACACCUCAAGAUGGUGAAAAAUGUCACGUGAAUAGAGCAAAAAUCAAGUAACUUACACAUGGGAAACUGUACUGAAAACAACAAACUGUGCUCUUUGUGUCUCUGCCAGUAAUAGGAGACAGAAGCACAAGCACAUUCCUACUGUCUCUAUAUGAAGCCUAAGAAGCCUUUGGCCUUCUCAGGUCUCAGUGACCUAUUUGUACCCCCACGUGGAGCCUGUAAUGGUCAUGGGAUAGAGCAGAUAUCCUCUUCAGCAGGGAUCCCCUUGCACACUCUGCUAGUGAGCCCUGGGAGGAUGGACAGAGCUCAGAGCUGCUCAGCUUCUGCUCCAGUAGGAGACCUCCUGCUGUGGGCCGAGGGCCUGGAGAGCAGGCUCAGGAGCCUACACAGACAGAGGUGUCUCCUGGUGCCUGGGGACAGGUCAUUGCAGCUGCUUCUCUGGUGACUGGGGUCCCUGAUGCCCUGACAAGGAAUUGAGAUGUGCUCAGGGCCAAGGGGGGCACCAGGAAUGAGCAGGACCUGCAUGGAUGUGCUGCUCCUCUGAGCACACAUUAUAGCUAAGGUGAAAGGAACUGAGUCCUGCAUGUGGUGGGUCACUACUGGUGAUUACUCUGCCCUACUUCAACCCAGUCAUCUUGCUGAGUGGCUGGUGCCUAGACCCUGAUGAACUGUGGUAGAUGUUCCAUAAUGUACAGUCUGCAUACAUCUGUUCCUUGUUCACAUCUGAUGUGCUAGUGACUCUCAAUGCAGUGUGACACAGGGAACAGACUGGGUGACAAGCAGCUGUGCUUGGGUGUGCUUCUGAAAUUGUGUUCCCCUCCAGGACUCAGGAGUGGCACAGCUCACAGAGCAGUGGGGAGACAGGUCAAACAGCAAACUUUCACUUGGGGCUGGGAACUCUCUGUUGAGUAUUGGAUUUGUGCCGUUAAUCAGACUCCUCAUGUUGCCAGCAAACACCAGCGGAAGAGCUGGCCUAGGAGGUGACAUUCAGGAUGUCCUUUCUGUCACCCACCACAGCAGCUGAGGAGCUCCUGUUACAGAGCAGGGGAGAGGGGUGGGCAGGCUAAGACGCCUCCGGGGAAGACAAGUGGCGAAAGGGGGAGGGAAGGAGAACGAGGAUUAGGUGCAUAAUAUUAGCACAAGCAGCAACUGCAUCCUAAAAAAGACAGCAAUGAGGUGGUAUCUUCCUCAAUUGGCACUCAUUUGGGACAGAUGCACAAAUCCUAGUUCUGGGCAGAUUUCAGUGCUGUAAAUGGAAAUAAACUGGUAUGGAAUUUCUUUAAAAAUUAGGCUUUUCCAGGCUAAGACCACCUAGUGGAUUACCAGAGAAUUUUCUGAGUGACACUCACUUUAUUGAAGUUGCCAACAGGAUACACAGCAGAAUUUUCUAGUGACAUUUCUGACCUAACUUGUUCUUGCAGAAAAGUUCCUUUUGCAUCCUUAGAAAAUUUAUCAAUGGUUUCAUUAUUUUAUGUUGGAAGACAGAUUCCCUUGUGGGUCAGGCUAAAUAUUUCUUUAAUUGCUCUCUGCAUUCAUCUCAUGUGCCAAGGGAAGAAUACAGGUCCCUGCUGCUCCUGAAGGGCAAAUCAGUUGUGCAAAGCAGAACAGCUCCAGGUUUCUUUUCCUGGAUCAUCCUACAUAAAACAUAUACCACAGGGUGGGCUAAGAAAGAGUGACAAGCCAGGUCACUGUGGGGUUGGCCACAGCUGAAAACUUGGACCACUCUGCACCACCCCCAUCCACUUUCCCUCUGCCAGGAAGAAAAGCAGCUCCUGAUGCUGCUGGACCCCAGCCUGAGCAACCUGCCCUGCCUGGGGAACUGAGGUCUGCCCAUGUUGGGGGCUUCCAGGCUCCACCUGCGAGUAGCCCCUGAAUUCUUAAGCCCUCUGGGAAGGUCUGGGUUUUCGCUCUGUCCUCCCAGUACAGCUUGUGUUCCCAGGUUUGGGAAAUGCUGCCUGAGGAUUUGUUCUCUGUAGCGCAGACAGCUCUGCUCAGCACUGUGCCUGGCCACGAGGGACAAGCCUUGUACCUUCUCAGCAGUAAUGAAACAACAGAAUAAAUGCAGCAAAUUAUUUCUUCAGAACUAAGCUUUACAAAGAAUUUCACAGGUGAGGAAUGCGUUAGUUGUUUGCAGAUUAUCACUGUAGUGUUUCCCAGCAGUCCCCCUCAGAUUUCUCCUGACCUUUUGUCCCCAGACCUGUCCUGAGUUGCCACUUCUUCUGCCCCCACAUCCUCUAAUGUCUUAUUUAUUUUCCUUGCACACAUCCAUCUUGCUUUCCUCCUCCCAGACCCUUUCUGAACUCCCCAGCACUGUUCCAACUCCCUCUCAGUUCUGUGGUUACUCUUCCACAUUCUCUCUUAACAAUUUUUUUCCACAACAAGAGUCACAAUAUAUCGAGUUCAGCUGCUCACACAUAAUGCAUUGGGCCCCAGCUCUUUUUGAUCUGAACAUGUUCAACAGGCUGCUCCUGCUCCACUUGGCUAAGAGAGGGGACAAGACUUUCUGCAAUGUUCUGCUGUUCCUGGAGCAAGCCCUGCCUCUGCUUUCCUCACCAGGGAAGGGAUUGAUGGACUGGGACCUGCAAAGCAAAAGAUGGUCUUCUGGGUCCACAGGCAUUGCAUUAAUUUGUUGAUUUCCAAGAGAAAGGUUUCCUCAUGCACCCCACAGAGCCCCAACUGACUGCUGGCAGUAUCUGGGCAGCUGCUGUGUUGCCCACGGGCCAGCAGAUCCCAGCAGGGAGUGGCCACGGCCACGGAGCUGGGCCCCAUUCUGAUGUUUAACCUUUCAGCUGGCAAUGGAGCUGUGCUGCAGAGAGUCUCUCUGGGGUAAGAAUAGCAGCUGCUGCCUUGGGACACAGCACACGUGUCCAGCUCCUCCACGGCAGCACGUUGCACUGCGACAUAGAAGGCAGCCUACCCGGCCAGGAAUGUCUUCAGGCGCUAUUAGUGGAAGCAAAUCAUGGCCACAAACAGGCACAACCCCGCACAGGAGUCUUGGGAGAGCGGGGCUAUUUUGGGCUUUUGACAUUGAGGAUGAAAGGAGACACAUGAUGGGGCUGAUCCUCCUGCUAGGGGCCUCCUCCAAAGCUCCUUUCAGCUUUGUCCCCUCCUCCAGCAAUGGCUCUUGUGAAGGCUGAGGGGCAGUUUGGUGUGGCCUUGGAGUGCAGGAGAGGGCAGAGGAAGCUGUGAGUUUUCUGGGGGGUAGGGCCAGUCCCCAGUGCCAUCAGCAGUGCCCUGCUGUGCUCAGGGCAGGUCCUGUCUGAGGGUGUGCUCCUGUGCCUGAGGUCAGGGCAUGGGGCCACCUGCUUUAUUCUCAACCACGACCAUGAGAGUGAGAGAGAUACCAGGGAGUAUUGUAAGGCUCCAAACAACUUGCUGAAAUUGUGCAUUGGAAACACAAAUCCAUUGCAUCCAGAAGGGUAUUUACUUCUUUCUACUGAAACUCUAUUUCUGAGUGGUUCUUCAGCACCAGGAAUGUUUGAGAGGUUCAUUUUCUUCUUCCCAGACAUCACAAAUUCCCUCCCCAGCUUAUUCACAUCCUUUUGUCAUCCUCUUCGUGGUGUAGAUUUCUUUCAUUCCAUCUUCUUUUAUGUCUCAUUUAUUUCUGUUUAAUUUACCUUGCUUUGUAAAGAGUUGCAGAUUAAACUGUCAGAGGAGAAUCACCCCUUUCCCAGAAGAGUUUUCUGGCUGGAUCAACCAGCCAAGUUGGUCUUCCCUGUGACUCCAUAUUCAGCUGGACUGAUGCACAGCAGCAGUGAUAGCAGGCAGGAACAAGUGUUCAGGGGACUGAGCAUGUAUUGGGCAGCUUAUAAAGCACUGCCACUCAAUGCAAUCCCACACCCUUGGGGGUCAGUCUCAUGCUAGCUCCUGGAAGAAGGCCACCUGGCAUAGUCACAGCCUUUUAAGCCAUUCCCAUGCAUAUCCAGCACUGCUGCAGACAAAGACUCCAUCAGCUCAGCCAGCAGACAAGAGCCACAGCUCCUCAUUCAUGGUUAUUUCUCCAGCUGCCUAAUUAGUUACCUUCCUCAGUCUGGCUUUGCCAGCACCUCUGUGCUUGUUGGGCAUCCCCUGUGUCUGUCACAACACAGAGCAGUGGGUGUGGGCACAGUCCACCCUUGGCUGCUCACUUCAAGGUCAGGCUGGUGAUAAAGCCAGUCUUUACCCCCCAUUUUGUGCUGUAUUUUGUGGUUCAGGUUCCCGUGGAUCACCUGGCCUGGUGAUGACUGAACCAGGGCCUCAGCACUGGAGGUUCUGUGCCUGGGAUGUUGGACAGGGCUGUGUGCUUCUUUGGGGAUCCCCAGCACUGCAGUGCUCGCUCUCGUGCUGCCCUGGACCAUCAUGGCUCAGCACAGCCCAAAUUUCUUCGCAGAAACUCCAGCUGUGAGGGUUUGUGCCCCAUGGCCAUGUGUCUCUUUCAGUCUGUUUUGCUUCUUACUGGAGGCAAUGGCAGCACAGGCUUUCCACAGUGCUCCAUUGCUAAUCCUGAGCCCAAACAUGUCCUCGUGCUCUCAGGAUCCUCCCCUCCAAACCAGCCAGACCCACAUGCAUGGUGUGUUAUGCCAACACAGGCACCAUCGUCCUGGACAGAGUCAGCCUGGGGACUCCAGGUGCCAGGUGGGAAAAGCCAGGCUCUGGGACCUGCCAUUCAGCCAACCCUGUCAUGAGUCAGAGCCAACACAAACCAAAAGUGAAUUCCACUUUAUGAAAUGGGAAACAGCUGCACUGCCAGCAGAAAGGAGCUGGUGCAGUGAAGGCAGGGAUUAUCCUGCUAAAGCCACAUCCAUGCAGAGCCUUGCAGGGGCUGCUGUGCUCUGCCCUCUGUGCUUUGGGUCUCAAAGAGCCAGGGACUGUGUAGCUGGGGCAAGAGCAAACAGCAGACUUUGGACCAAAAGUGGGCAAGAGGGCUGGGAAGGAUUAUAUGACAAUGCCAUGUCGAUGCUCUGGAAUGAAUAAUGACAGGCUGGCAAGGGUUCUAGACCUGCCUAGCAGUUAGUAAUUUUCUGUUUCUUUUGCACAGUAAGUCCUAAACAAGUUACAACUGUUUUUCUGCAGGUUCAUGAAAUAGAGUAUUGCACUGAGUAACCAGUCACUUGACAUGGUGGGUAGGGUCAGUGGCAUGGCCUAGGAGCACAGCAGGACUUUGGAUUGCAUCCUGAAGCACAGCACUGUGCCAAGAGCUGCUGAGAGCAAGGUGCAGCUGGGAAUCUCUCUCCUGAGAAUGUGCUGCUUCCAGGCUACAGCAGCUGAAACAGAAUUUGUGUCUUGGGAAAGCAAAAAGCCUGUCAAACCUCUAGGUUUUCAAUUCAGGAUAAAAUUGGUCAAACUGGUCACAGAAGCAGUAAGACUCAAACCCUGAGCUUUGACUAAACUUAGUAAUAAAAUGAAGCUCUCAUUUAAACAUUCACAUUUGAAGCAUCUAUUUUAUUGACACUGGUACAGCAGCAGCAACAGAACUUGUUUGUAUUCAUAAACAAAGGGAAAAUUACUUCCACACCUGGAGAGAUACUUUUUGGAGGUUAUCCCAGAGGAAGCUCAUUUCUCAGUUCCUAACACCAC